GCAGGAGCUUGAAUUUCAGUUUUCUUAUGAGGAAUUUUCCAGAAAAGAUAUCUUCACUGUGAAAUAACUAAAUAAAUGCCCACUCAGUACAGUCACUGUCUCCCUUUUGGAACUUGAUGGCACCUUAAGCCCAGGUUUGCCUCCACUCUAGAAACUCAUCAGAGUGAUGCCCUUCUCAAAUGGGGGAGGUCCCAAAGCGGAUAUCCUGGCAGUGUGAAAGGCCGGCUAAAGGUUUGUGCCAAGAGGAUCUGUGGAAUGCAUCUCCUACAGCUGGUGCUGCUGAGUAACCACUCUGAUCUGGCAUCUUCUUUGAUCAAGUUACAGAGCAGAGUUUCCAGGGCUGGGGAUUGAAGUCCUGCCUCCUCCCUUUGUCUCUGGUUGUCCUCGGUAAUGUUUUUCCCUCAAGGUACUCAUGAUACUUCCCAUGGGCUUUCCCUGCACUCCAAACACAGAGCUGAGACUUCCACCUAAUGUAGAAAGCUAGCACGAGCCGGCGCUGACAGAUGGAAGACUUGAGAUGUUACAAGAUUAUAUAUGGAAACACAAAAGGAGAUACCGGAGCCAUGACAGACUGUGAUGGGGCUGGUGGACAGUUCAGCAAGACAUUGAUAUUGUCCAUUGGCGCUCAGUUCAUCUGUAAUGACACAUUCAAGGAUGACGAU
rnacentral:lncRNA from 1 species